CAAUAGCGUAUAUUAAAGCUGUUGCGGUUAAAAAGCUCGUAGUUGGAUUUCUGUCAAGGACAACUGGUCCGCCCUCCGGGUGAGCACAUAGUUUGGUAUUGACAUCUUGCUGGAAGCUGUUGCUGCACUUGGCUGUGUGGCGCAGUGUUCAGCACUUUCACUUUGAGGAAAUUGGAGUGUUUCAAGCAGGCACAUGCCUUUGGACACAGUAGCAUGGAAUAAUUAGAUUGGGCUUUUGCUCCAAUUUGUCGGUUUCUGGAGCUGAGGUGAGUAUUAAUGGGGAUUGUUGGGGGCAUCCGAAUUUAGCCGUCAGAGGUGAAAUUCUUGGAUCUGCUAAAGACGGACAACUGCGAAAGCGUUUGCCCAGGAUGUUUUCAUUGA
rnacentral:rRNA from 1 species